rnacentral:rRNA from 1 species
CCUACGGGAGGCAGCAGUGAGGAAUAUUGGUCAAUGGGCGAGAGCCUGAACCAGCCAAGUCGCGUGAAGGAUGACGGCCCUACGGGUUGUAAACUUCUUUUGUCAGGGAGCAAUUGGGUCCACGCGUGGGCUUAGCGAGAGUACCUGAAGAAAAAGCAUCGGCUAACUCCGUGCCAGUAGCCGCGGUAAUACGGAGGAUGCGAGCGUUAUCCGGAUUUAUUGGGUUUAAAGGGUGCGUAGGUGGAAUAUCAAGUCAGCGGUAAAAAUUCGGGGCUCAACCCCGUCGUGCCGUUGAAACUGAGGUUCUUGAGUGGGCGAGAAGUAUGCGGAAUGCGUGGUGUAGCGGUGAAAUGCAUAGAUAUCACGCAGAACUCCGAUUGCGAAGGCAGCAUGCCGGCUCCACACUGACGCUGAGGCACGAAAGCGUGGGUAUCGAACAGGAUUAGAUACCCCUGUAGUC